rnacentral:rRNA from 1 species
AACGAACGCUGGCGGCAGGCCUAACACAUGCAAGUCGAGCGCGCCCUUCGGGGUGAGCGGCGGACGGGUGAGUAACGCGUGGGAACGUGCCCUUUGGUUCGGAAUAGUCCUGGGAAACUGGGGGUAAUACCGGAUACGCCCUUUUUGGGGAAAGAUUUAUCGCCGAAGGAUCGGCCCGCGUUGGAGUAGGUAGUUGGUGGGGUAAUGGCCGACCAAGCCGACGAUCCAUAGCUGGUUUGAGAGGAUGAUCAGCCACACUGGGACUGAGACACGGCCCAGACUCCUACGGGAGGCAGCAGUAAGGAAUAUUGGACAAUGGGCGCAAGCCUGAUCCAGCCAUGCCGCGUGGGUGAUGAAGGCCCUAGGGUUGUAAAGCCCUUUCAGCGGGGAAGAUAAUGACGGUACCCGCAGAAGAAGCCCCGGCUAACUUCGUGCCAGCCGCCGCGGUAACAC